ensembl:lncRNA LINC02221 long intergenic non-protein coding RNA 2221
GGUCACAUUCUGAGCUUCUGGGAGUUAAGACCCCAACAUGUAAAUCUGGAGGGAUGCAAUUCAACACGUAAUAUUCCCUAACACAAUAUUUCCAUAACAGUCUGUAGCGUCUUCUUCAGGCUAAGGGAUUGGGGCCUCAUCUAUCAGAGUUGUAAUAAGGAACAAAGGUUGUUGAAGAAUUGAAUAUAUUACUCCAGCUAUCGUCAACAAACAUGCUUCAACAACAGGAUCCUCACUGUUUGGAAGACAGCCCCUGAGACCCAGAGCAAAUGGGUCAAAGUCUCAGUUACAUCAGUAUAACUACAAAGACAAUAAUUCUUACCUCUCUCACAGGAUCCAGUGAAAAAAUAGUGCUUCUGACUUUAUUGUGUGGAGCAGAUUGUGCUGGGGCAACAGUGAUGUAACCAGACAUCAGGAGGCUGCCAAAGGCCCCUCAUGUGAGAGGUCAUGGAGCCUCACAGGACUGGGUCAGAAGGGGCAGAGUCUGAAAGAAGUGGAUACCAAGUCAUCAGAGCUGGGGUGGGGAUCCAACCCAGGCUGACGAAGCAAGAGAGCCAACAAGGACUCCGUGGUCUCAGACCUGAAACCAGAAUAGCCAUGACAUUUGUGAUGAUAUGCAAGCUGGGAGAAAGACCAGGCUUGGUGGGGAGCGUGAGUGGCUUUCUGGCAGCAGAGUGUAAGGGACAUAAAAGAGUAUUUGAAAUCAGCAAGACUGAAGCUCUACAAAGACUGAUAUUUUAAACAUGGCCACUGUGACCUACUUAUAACCACGUGUCAACUUUAACACCGGAUUCCAAAAACAAGGCACAAUGUGAGAUGAAAUGAUAAUCAAAGUGGAUUACUGGAGGUUUGCUUGGAAUCCUGGUCUUCCAUGUGGACAUCGUUUUUUGGGGACAGCAUCUGGGGCUUCCUUCUGCUACCACAACCAUCCUCAAAGUAUAGUCUGGAGACCUCGGUAGGUGCCCAUGGCCUUUUUAAGGGUCCACAAAUUCAAACCUAAUAACAUGAAGUCAUUAUGUGGCUUUUAAAAUCU